rnacentral:rRNA from 1 species
CGCGGCCUAUCAGCUUGUUGGUGGGGUAAUGGCCUACCAAGGCGGCGACGGGUAGCCGGCCUGAGAGGGUGUACGGCCACAUUGGGACUGAGAUACGGCCCAGACUCCUACGGGAGGCAGCAGUGGGGAAUAUUGCACAAUGGGCGCAAGCCUGAUGCAGCGACGCCGCGUGGGGGAUGAAGGCCUUCGGGUUGUAAACUCCUUUCGCUAGGGACGAAGCUUUGUGUGACGGUACCUAGAUAAGAAGCACCGGCUAACUACGUGCCAGCAGCCGCGGUAAUACGUAGGGUGCGAGCGUUGUCCGGAAUUACUGGGCGUAAAGGGCUCGUAGGUGGUUUGUCGCGUCGUCUGUGAAAUUCUGGGGCUUAACUCCGGGCGUGCAGGCGAUACGGGCAUAACUUGAGUGCUGUAGGGGUAACUGGAAUUCCUGGUGUAGCGGUGAAAUGCGCAGAUAUCAGGAGGAACACCGAUGGCGAAGGCAGGUUACUGGGCAGUUACUGACGCUGAGGAGCGAAAGCAUGGGUAGCGAACAGGAUUAGAUACCCUGGUAGUCCAUGCCGUAAACGGUGGGCGCUAGGUGUGAGGGUCUUUCUACGACUUUCGUGCCGUAGCUAACGCAUUAAGCGCCCCGCCUGGGGAGUACGG